rnacentral:rRNA from 1 species
GGGGGAUAGCCUUUCGAAAGGAAGAUUAAUACUCCAUAACAUAUUGAACGGCAUCGUUUAAUAUUGAAGGCUCCGGCGGAUAGAGAUGGGCACGCGCAAGAUUAGCUAGUUGGUGAGGUAACGGCUCACCAAGGCGAUGAUCUUUAGGGGGCCUGAGAGGGUGAUCCCCCACACUGGUACUGAGACACGGACCAG